AUUGAACGCUGGCGGCAGGCCUAACACAUGCAAGUCGAACGAGUGGCGGACGGGUGAGUAAUGUCUGGGAAACUGCCCGAUGGAGGGGGAUAACUACUGGAAACGGUAGAUAAUACCGCAUACCAUCGGAUGUGCCCCGAUGGGAUUAGCUAGUAGGUGGGGUAAAGGCUCACCUAGGCGACGAUCCCUAGAGGGUCUGAGAGGAUGACCAGCCACACUGGAACUGAUACACGGUCCAGACUCCUACGGGAGGCAGCAGGGGGGAAGAUUGCACAAUGGGCGCAAGCCGGAUGCAGCCAUGCCGCGUGUAUGAAGAAGGCCUUCGGGUUGUAAAGUACUUUCAGCGAGGAGGCGUUACUCGCAGAAGAAGCACCGGCUAACUCCGUGCCAGCAGCCGCGGUAAUAC
rnacentral:rRNA from 1 species